GACGAACCGUGCGAACGUUGUUCGGAUUCAUUGGGCGUAAAGGGUGCGUAGGCGGCGCGGUAAGUCGGGUGUGAAAUCUCGGGGCUUAACUCCGAAACUGCAUUCGAUACUGCCGUGCUUGAGGACUGGAGAGGAGACUGGAAUUUACGGUGUAGCGGUGAAAUGCGUAGAUAUCGUAAGGAAGACCAGUGGCGAAGGCGGGUCUCGUGGACAGUUCCUGACGCUGAGGCACGAAGGUCAGGGGAGCAAACGGG
rnacentral:rRNA from 1 species